rnacentral:rRNA from 1 species
ACCUCUGUUGUGAUGCUUUUGUGUCAUGACAGAACUGCAUAAGCAGGUGAAACUUCUUAGAGGGACUGGCGCUCAAAAAGGCGCACGAGAAAGAGCAAUAACAGGUCUGUGAUGCCCUAAGAUGUCCGGGGCCGCACGCGUGCUACAAUGACGAUGCUAGUGAGCAUGAUUAACUUGCCCGAAAGGGUAGGUAAAACUGUUCAAUCAUCGUCGUGACUGGGAUUGGGGUUUGCAAUUAUCCCCCAUGAACCAGGAAUUCCUAGUAAGCACAAGUCAUAAGCUUGUGCUGAUUACGUCCCUGCCCUUUGUACACACCGCCCGUCGCUACUACCGAUUGAAUGGCUUAGCAAGGUCAUUGGAUUGAGUCCUUGCGGUUAACCCUGCUAGGAUUUGAGAAGAUGCCCGAACUUGGUCAUUUAGAGGAAGUAAAAGUCGUAACAAGGUUUCCGUAGGUGAACCUGCGGAAGGAUCAUUAUCAAAUUCCAAAAACAAAUCCACUGAGACUCGUCUCUAGUGGUAGCGCUUUAUGCGGUUUAUUCUGCUCGGCGCAUUGUGAUACAGAAGUGGUUGGAGUGGCAUAGGCGGUAACCAUGUAUCGCUUAUUGCUGGCUUCUUCUCACCCACAACCUCCCCAGUCCGGUGGCUUGUUGGCAUGCACAGUUGUGGCGGCGUUGUGCAUGUUUGCUUGCUGCUUUCAUUCAUUUUUUGGACUGGGCCUUGGUUGCCGUUGCCACACCCCUCUCCCUUGUGGAGUUCCUGUCACAUUACCCAUU